rnacentral:lncRNA from 1 species
CAGCGGUAAGAGAAAUAGCAUUGGUGGCAGAAGAUCCAGCAGCAGAAAGGUAUGAAGCACAAGUACCAGUGGCAGAAGAGGCAGAAACUAAAGUAGCAGAGCCACUGAAGUCACAGUCACCUUUAGCACUGUAAUAGGCAUCAAGAACGUAAUCCAAUUGUUGCUUAGCAUCACAGUAACUGUAAGAACCAUAUUGACCAGGGUAAGUGCCAUUAGCAGUGAUACCAUCACAAGAAAUUUCAUUGCAAACAUAGCUGAAGAGAUCACUGUAAUCAUCAGAGCUAACAUCAUCGUUGAUAACGCAACUGCGAGUACUAUCCAUACAUUCACAAACAGCCUCUGAAGGAGUAGGGGGAAGAGAAGUAGCAGCCAUCCAAGCACUGUUGGUAGCUUGACAGGACAUAGUUGCGGUCAAAGUAGCAGACAUAGUCGAUUCAUAAGAAGCACUAGGGAUGACAGAGGCAUAUCUGGAAGAAAGGUAAGGGAAAUCGGUGAGAGUGCUAACAGAGUCACCGGAAACAGUAACAACACCAUACUCAUUUUCACUCUCAAAAUAUUGGUAAGCAAUACCACCAGACCAAACAUCAGUCAUGUUGUCACUGAACAAGGCAACAAUUUCAGAGAAUGUACGAGGACGAACUUCAAUACAUCCAAACUCUGAGAAAAUCAUAGGGACAGUCAUGUUGGAAAACUCUUCAGUACGUUCUUGGUAACCAGAUGAAACGAAAUCACUGUCACCGCACCAUUCAUAAAUGUUAAUACCGUAAAAGUCAACAUGAUCAUCAUCAUCACCGCAGUCAAAGUAAUACGCCAUAGGGUCACGAGUAACCUCUUCGUCGUUUGUAGAGUAACCAACAGGAAUUUGACGAUAACCACUAGACUUAAUAUAGGAUUUAACGUCACGAACGGCAGCCUUCACGAAAGCAGCGGCAUUUGUGUUAGUGUUAUUUUGAAUAACUUCGUUUCCAGCAAUGAAACCAAGCAUGUUAUCAUAGGGAGCCAAAGAAUCAACGACUUCAGUAUAUCUAGAAAACAAAUCAACAGUCCAAGUAGGAUCAGAGCUUGAAAUGGCUUCAUAAGGUUGGGCCAAAUCAGAAAGAACGUAUAUACCAGCAUCUUGAAAAGCUUGCAUACAAGCAGAGUGAUCAAGAGACGCGUUAACGGCAUAAACACGGAUAGCGUUAACAGACAACUCUUGGAAGUAUGGAACAUCACGGGAGCAAGCAUCACCAUCAGAAAGAGGAUCAACGAAAAGAGUACCUUCAGUGUCACUAUCAUCGACGUUAGGUUGAUAAGCGAUACCCUUCAAAAAGAAACGAGUGCCGUUCUCGUAAAAAAAGUAACGACCAUCAACGUGAACAGGAGAAACUGAGGCUUUAGCGAGGCCAACGAGACCGGCGACGGCCAAAGAUAGAAUACUGAACUUCAUUUUUUUUAAGUAAACAAGAAACAGGGUAUUAAAAGAGAUAAAAAGUUAUGCAGUGUUAUAAGCGAAAGACGAAUAAAAGGAAUGCAAGAAUGAAAAUGUCAAAAAAUGACUGUCUAAAAAGGAAUGAAA